CAAUAGCGUAUAUUAAAGUUGUUGCAGUUAAAAAGCUCGUAGUUGGAUUUGUGGCGUACGGUGGGUUCCGGGCACUUGUUGUCUGAGUAACUUGCUGUUGCCAUCCUUGGGUGGAACCUGUGUGGCAUUAGGUUGUCGUGCAGGGGAUGCCCAUCAUUUACUGUGAAAAAAUUAGAGUGUUCAAAGCAGGCUUAUGCCGUUGAAUAUAUUAGCAUGGAAUAAUGAGAUAGGACUUUUUUGCUAUUUUGUUGGUUUGCGCAAAGAGGUAAUGAUUAAUAGGGACAGUCGGGGGUAUUCGUAUUCCAUUGUCAGAGGUGAAAUUCUUGGAUUUUUGGAAGACGAACUACUGCGAAAGCAUUUACCAAGGAUGUUUUCAUUAA
rnacentral:rRNA from 1 species